rfam:Daphnia magna strain Xinb3 scaffold00996, whole genome shotgun sequence.
GUCGGUUAUGGAGAUAUGGCACCCAAAACAUGUAAGGGUCUGACAAAUCAUAAUACCGAAAAAUCAAAUGUUAACAUCAUUCAUUUUUUAAUAAUUUUUUGCAGAUGCCGGGAUGUUUGUAGGUGCUUUAUGCGCCUUGGCCGGCGUGCUGACCAUUUCUCUGCCCGUGCCUGUCAUCGUCUCCAAU